rnacentral:rRNA from 1 species
CGGGCGCGGCGCCGGUCUAAGUCCCUUGGAACGGGGCGUCAUAGAGGGUGAGAAUCCCGUCCGUGAUCGGCGACCAAGCCUAUGUGAAACCCCUUCGACGAGUCGAGUUGUUUGGGAAUGCAGCUCAAAAUGGGUGGUAAAUUUCAUCUAAAGCUAAAUACCGGCCAGAGACCGAUAGCGCACAAGUAGAGUGAUCGAAAGAUGAAAAGCACUUUGGAAAGAGAGUCAAAAAGUACGUGAAAUUGUUGAAAGGGAAGCGCUUGCAGCCAGACCUGCCCGCGGGUGAUCAGCUGUCCUUCGGGGCGGUGCACUCGCCCGCGAGCAGGCCAGCAUCGGUUCCGGCGGUCGGAUAACGGCCCUGGGAAUGUAGCUCCUUUCGGGGAGUGUUAGAGCCUAGGGCGCCAUACGGCCUGCCGGGACCGAGGACCGCGCUUCGGCAAGGAUGCUGGCGUAAUGGCUGUAAGCGGCCCGUCUUGAAACACGGACCAAGGAGUCUAACAUCUAUGCGAGUGUUUGGGUGUCAAACCCGUGCGCGUAAUGAAAGUGAACGGAGGUGGGAACCCCUUCGAGGGCGCACCAUCGACCGAUCCAGAUGUCUUCGGAUGGAUUUGAGUACGAGCAUAGCUGUUGGGACCCGAAAGAUGGUGAACUAUGCCUGAAUAGGGUGAAGCCAGAGGAAACUCUGGUGGAGGCUCGCAGCGGUUCUGACGUGCAAAUCGAUCGUCAAAUUUGGGUAUAGGGGCGAAAGACUAAUCGAACCAUC